rnacentral:misc_RNA from 1 species
UCCAGCUUAUCGCUGGCGGUCUCCUGCGAGUUCCGCCUUUCGGCAUGGCAACACAGGACAAGGGUUGCGCUCGUUGCGGGACUUAACCCAACAUCUCACGACACGAGCUGACGACAGCCGUGCAGCACCUCGACUCCACUCCCUUGCGGGAUAGCGCUAUUUCUAACGCCGUUAGGAAGCCGUUCGAGCCCAGGUAAGGUUCUUCGCGUUGCGUCGAAUUGAACCACAUGCUCCACCGCUUGUGCGGGCCCCCGUCAAUUCCUUUGAGUUUCAGCCUUGCGACUGUACUCCCCAGGCGGCAUAUUUAACGCGUUAGCUCCGGCACGGACAGAAUGAACUGCCCACACCAAAUAUGCAUCGUUUAGGGCGUGGACUAC